UGUGGCGACUAUACUGGAGUUGUCCCACCUCUUCCCAUUUCGAACAGAGAAGUGAAAUACUCCAAGGCCGAUGAUAGUGGGUUUUCCUGCGAAAGUAGGUAGUUGCCACAA
rnacentral:rRNA from 1 species